AACAGCAAAUGAAAACUCUUGAGAGUUUGUUGCUGUAGUAAGGAGUCUCCACCCUGAAAACUCUGUAAAGGAAUGAUCUGCACUAUAUUUAAGAAGCAGCCCCCUUUCAAAGACAGAAUAUUAGGCAAGAUGGACCACACUUCUGCUUUGGAACAGCAAACUCAGUGCUCACAGAAAAGUGCUAGUAUUACGAGACCUUGCUCUGAUUCACCCGGUGGGUGCUGAGGGACCUGGGCGUUUUUGCUAGGACACUCUCCGUUAUCUUUGGUAAGUAGUGGGGAGUCUACAACAUGGCAUAUGAAAAGGUACGUUUGGGUUGUUGGGUAUAUUUGGGAUCUAUCUAUUUUAUGACAUUAUGCUCUAAAAGCCUAUUCUGAGUAUUUUUGUUGUUACUAUUAUUUUUAUUUAUUUAUAUAUAUAUGUAUAAUUAAUAUACAUCUUACUAAUAUUUUUAUUGUUACCCCAAACACCAAGAGUCUACCUCAAGUGUUGCCUUAUAGUAACAAGUAAAAGUCAGCUUUUCAGACUGUUGUAUAAAUCCCACACAAUACUGAUAAUCACUAUACGCUCACCCAGUUGAUUUUUUGUCAAACUGAUCCACGUUUAAGUAUUCUGUUUUAUUUUCUGUUUUAUUUUCUGUUUUUUCCUUACAAUAAAUCCAUAAAGAUAAGUCUGUGGAAGUAUUACUUUCAGACUAGAAAGCCUCAAGAUGAGUGGCCCUCUUAUGGAAAUAAGCAUAACCCAAGCAACAGCAUCAUAGCUGAGGUAUAUAGCUAUAUAUGCACUGACAUCCAUUUUUGGUGCUUGAGUUGCAAGCACUGCUAGAAAGAACCUGUGCUAUGUAGUUCUUAAUCUUAUUUCUAACACAAGUAACCUAUCUAUCUUGAAAAUAUUAUAGUUAUGGGUAAAAAAAUUUCUAUCUAGUAAUGAUGAAACUGUAAAGCAAAGUUUUGGAAAUAAAUUCUGAACAUAAAAUUUUUCUACCUUUUCGCAUAUUAGUACCAGAAUCAAAGGACAUCACUGUAUCACUGUAGUGAUAAUAUAAAGUGAAGUGUUAUUGUGGCUGAAUUUUCACAAUACACUACAUAUGACAUUGCACAUCAUUUACACUUACAAUUCAGGUUGAGGAGAUAAAGGAUGAGGAUUAUGUUUGUUUAUGCAUGAAUGUAUUGAGCAUCUGCGCAAACCUAUCUAGGUAUUUUAUUUGUGUUUCAAGAAAGUGGACCAUCUGCUCUGUCAUCAGCAAAGAUUUUGUUCUAAAAGCUACAACAAAAGAUCGCUCAUCUUGUGCACCCUGUUCUCACUUAACGUAAGUGUAAUUUUAACAGCAUCCAUCUGUAGGUAUGAUUAGUGACCUGAAGCAGAUACUACCUACUGAGUCAAUAUUACAACUGGAGAUGUAGUAAGCGGAAUGACAAUUAAAACAUUUUUCCAUAUAGAGCAUCGAAGUCCUAUUUAGUGUACGUGAACAAAGUACUUACUGAUCCACUUGCUUUAGUCCUCUCUUUCUUGUUUUGACUCUAUUAAGAACUAGAAAGUGUAAAAUGAUGUGUACUGCUUAAAACGGUCCUUCCAUAUAAUUGUCAUACAGACUCCUUAGACACCUAUAAAACCCAGAGGGAGGGUCUCUGUAAGGGAAAUAACCUACAGGAAACGCUUUCCUGUCUGUGGUAACAACAGCUAAGUCUUAAUAUUUGAGUUUGUCAGAUCAAAGUACUGGCUGGCUUCAGAGGCCAAAGAGUGACUGACACAGUAUUUAAGGAGUUUCAGGCCAUGACAUUUGAAAAACGACAAAUAUGGAUUUUGACUGAUUGUCUUCAGUAAUUGUUGUAGGGGCGAGAUUAAUCUACUAAAUUCAAAUACACAGAACGCUGGAGAUAUUUCAGACCGGCGUCUACAGUGAGAAGUAGAAGAAUGAGAGACCACCUACCUCUCGCAAAGCAGGGAAAGACAGAAGCCCUAAAUGAUAUUUAUCUGCAGGUGAUAUUUUAAUAAUCUGCUUUUCCUCUUAAGCUUUCCUGAGGCUUGGAGCCACGGCCAAGUGACAAGGGUUUCUUGUGUACAAGGUCUUUGGGCACUGCCUUGGUUUUGCCUUCCUGUUGUCCAUACUCUAACAGCUGCAGGGGAUUUCUCCAGACCUCAGAGAAGUCACAGUAGCUUAAUAGCUCAGCCGGAAACCACUGGGAAAGACAGGCUUGUGGCAUUUAAUAUGUAUCUGACAAUUUUUAUAACUUACUUACGGAAUAACUAGUUUGAACACAUCAAUUGUUUGGAUACGUGACAUAAGUAUACUUACUGAACAAACUACUUUCCUUCACACUAAAAUUUUCAAGGUAAUGGUGAGUAAUAAUUUUGGAGGUCGAUAUUAAGUAGAAUUGAGUGCAUCCAGAGCACAACUGCAAAUCUCUCGAAGCUGUUGCUAACCAUGCAAAACUACUUCCUCUAUGACAGUUUACUGAGUGUAAAAUCAGUAUUCGAAGAACCUAAGUAAGGUAUUUAUUGCAAUUUGAUGAGAUGCUGAGCAAAGCUGAUAUUUCAGUUACAUACACUAGAAAUGAACAUACAGAUGAUCCCGUCUGUACUAUAAAUAUAGGUACAACAUUGUAUUUCUGUAUAUCUUUGUAAUAGAUAAUAUAUACACAUUUGGAACUGUGGUAGUAAUGUCUUUCGUUUGCGCAGAUGGAAUACUUCCAAAAUCAGUGGCAGAACCGAGAUAGGUUUAAUAGACUAUUUCUUUUCCGCUGCAUAGUUUCUAAAGUAAACAGCAGCAUAAAUAUAUGUAUAAAAUAACGAGAUUGUGAGCGUGACCUCAACAUCACCGUGAACUUUUUAUUUUUAAAUUGCUAGAUACUUGCAUUAGAAAAUGUAUCCAUUCCUGCAUUUGACACAAGUAUCUUUGUUUGCUUUUUUGUGGGGAGAAAUAUCUAUUACUUUUUUAAAAUGAUAGAAAAUUAUAAGGAACUAUAAAAAUUAUAGGGAACUAUAGUCUGAAGAGGCAUUGCCAAGGUGUUUCGCAACAGUACAUACCUAAAACUCUAAAGUAAUUUUAAUUAUUCCUUCAUUUUUAAUCAGAAAAUUAGGUUUCCAGUUAUAGAAGAUUUGUGCUGUGUAUUUUCCUUAGAUUUUUUUCAUUAGAUCUGCUCUAAAUAUAGCUUUAAAAUAUUAACUUUAUUGCACAACAGUUAAAGCAUAUAAAGUCAUCGUGGUUUGAGGCAGUAUUAAAAAAGCAUGAUCAAGAGCACUAGGUUCUGUCUAGAGGUGAUAAAGAAGUCAAAAAGCAAUAACAUGAUGAGAAUGGACCAUUGUGACAAAGAACCUGUCUCAUUCUCAUAAGAUGAAUUUCUUGACACCAAGUUGAUGUUUACUCUUUGCUGCUAUCUUUGGCAUUUAGAUUGCAACUUUAUCCACAGUUGCGCUCAACCUACUGAAGGAUUCCCUAACAGUAGGGCACGGUCUCUUGAAACAGAUACGGCUAAUACCGUGUCUCUGAGAAUAUAACAUAUUUGCGUUAUUUAUGAUAUCAUGUUGAGCUUAGAUUCACUCAAAUCAAGAGGUCCUUUCUUGCCUACAGGAUGCGAGGUUUCAGCUGCCUCCGGUGCAUGAGAUGAGCGAUUAGAGUGCUCUCCUGAGAAGUUGAUACGGAGAGAUAAGGCUUAAGACUCCUUAAGAUUGGAGGGCUUUGGUUCUCUGCUCCUGUAUUUUAAAACAUCGCUGUACUAGGCAGCAGAUUAAAUGGUGGGACAGGAAAGGUGUCCUCUGCCUUUUGUUGAAAAUGUGCCAUUGACUGUCCAAAGUUCCGCUUCAGAGAGACAGAGACUAGGCUGAUUCAGUGCCUAGUAGUGCAGCUUCCUUUCAGAGUGGGAACGCUGGGUCUCUGGCUUCGAUAAGCAGCUGAAAAACUUUUCAGCUUUGUGUUUCUUCCCAAGAAGAGCGCUACAGUUUCACAUUCUGAAGCAUAAGAACGUUCUACAGAAACAUCCAUAGCUCCUCUACAAGUGAUAAUUUUCUGAGGCUUUCAUGACACAGCCUAUUCCUGCCUGAGUUUGCCCUGACCAACUGCCUGAUUUGGAAGGCUGACAACUAGGCAACUCCAGGCUGUUCUUGCCUCAAUUACCUUUCUAAUACAAAUUGGUCCCCAGUAUAAGUCGCUGUGAUAAUUUAUAUUUUUCAGAUGUUUCUAUCUUAGUAGGAGAAGAAAUGAGGUGUAUAACUGCAGAUACAAAUAGAAGCGUCCUUAUUUCUCUAUUAACUUUAAAUUGCGCUCAGUUGACUGGAAUUAAAACAAUUGCUUCAUUUCGUAAGUGACUAUCCUGUAAUCAGAUACCAAACAGACUUGUCAAUUCUCAUGUUUUCUUUAUGUGACUUCUCAUAGAACGGCUUGGGUUCGAAGUGACCUCACGGAUCAUCAAGCUCCAACCGUCCUGCCGCAUGCAAUGCCACCAGCCUAUAUAUCUAAUACUAGACCAACUUGCUCAGGACCCCAUCCAACCUAGUCUUGAACGCCUCCGGGGACGGGACAUCCACAGCCUCUCUGGGCAGCCUGUGCCAGCACCUCACCACUCUAUUGCACUCACAGGGCGACUCCCUGGCUCCAGGCUCUGCACCGAAAUCAGCUGUAGUGCUCACUGAGCUGCGGCAGCGAUGUUGUCUCCUGCUGAAAUCCCUGAACUCCAGAACAUCCUGCAGCACGGUCUGUGGCCCGUGGCUGGGCUUCUUGGUAAGAAAUUGGAUUUUUUCCAUUCUCUUUCUUUUCUAUCCAAAUCUGAGGUCGCCUUGCAAUACUGUAAAUAUUCAGAGUAGCCACGUGGAAGCAAAGUCUAUACCAGCAAGGUAGUGAGGGGAGAAGACAAAAAUCACAUUUGCUUAAAAAGAACUGCAGUUUCUGGCAUUUUUGAUGAGUAGAAGGGAGUGGGGAGAGUUCAGUCUACAGGCAAUUUACUGGGUAAAAUAAAUUGGUAUUCCGUAAAAAUUAUUGACUUUGUUAAGAUAAAGGUGAAUUAAAAGUCCUUUUGUCUGUUAAAUCAUUCAGGCACCUCCACAGGUGAUGUUAGAACUCAAUAAAGAUACAAGUCAUUAUUUCAUAUAUUUUAAGGAAAAUACACAUGCACAAAAAAAGUGACUGAAUCUGAUCAUUCUGAUCUGAGUUCCAAUUUUUCUUUUUUUCCUACCAGUUUCUACUUGAUCUAAAUGAUGUUUUUGGAUGUAGAAUAAAUAAGAGGCUGUACCACCGAUAUCUCUGAAAUUACAGAAUCAAAAAAUCAUAGGGGUUGAGAGGGACCUCUGAAGAUUAUAGAUGUCCAGGCCUCCUGCUAAAACAGUUCCCUACCGUAGGUCACACAGGAAGUGUCUAGACAGCUUUUGAAUAUCUCGAGAGAAGGAGAUAUCCGCAAUCCUCCUGGACAUCAUCCUCAAU